AUGACAGGGAAAUGUCUUCCUUCCGGUGCACCCUUUUCGUCAAUGGGAGGCGUCCCCGUGCGCCGCCGUGCGCGUCCCGGGGGCUUCUGGGUAGUGGUUUACCCCCGCCCACUGCGUCAGCGUCUUCCUUUCGCCGCCGGACGCUGCCGAGGUCGCACGCGUGAGGUCUGUCCCCCGCAGCCGACAUGCGCUACGUCGCCUCUUACCUGCUGGCCGCCCUCGGGGGCAACUCCUCUCCUAGCGCCAAAGACAUCAAGAAAAUACUAGACAGCGUGGGCAUCGAAGCGGACGAUGAUCGGCUCAACAAGGUAGCAUGCUGCUUGCUUGGACCCGCUGGAUCCAAAUGUCUACCAGCGGCGGUCCUUAUCCUAUUAUGUCCGGAUUUUACUUUUAAGAAAAAUUGUAGAUAACCUGUUGAAAAGGAUGGAUGGAGGAGGCCUACACCCAUCUUAGUCAUAGUUUUCUCUUUAGUCCUUUUGAGGACCUUGUGCAAUCGAAGAAGUCAGUCGUGAUAAUCGUGCUUUUAUAGAAGUUUAAUACAACUCAUGUUGUGUGAUCUUAUUUUUUGAGACAAGGCCUCACCGUGUAGCUCUGGCUAACCUGGAACUCACUGUGUAAACCAGUUUUCUAACUUUUUUUUUUUUUUAAAAAAACCAGCUUUGCAGUAAAGGAUGUAUGUGUGUAGAUGCCAACAGAGGCAUCUGUGUCUCUUUGGACCUAUAGUGCUGGGACUCAAACUCUAGGAUAUGGUAGAGUUUGAGCAGUGGAGCUAUCUCAUCGCCCCUUAAGAUUCCUCUAGAAAGGAUUCUCCCUCCACCCACCUAGGUUGUACAUAGAACCUAAACUUCACAGAACGGUAGAAUUUUAGUAUCUAAAACUUCCUAUUGCCAAAAUCAUUGUUGAGAAGACCCAGCACUAUCUCAUAGGUAGUUCCUGGGAGUUGAGAGCAGGUCCAGUAUCUCAGGAGACCUUCCCGUGCCUUGCAUUGCUGACUGCUCGCUGUGGUUGUCUACC
rnacentral:lncRNA from 1 species